CCUUGAAGGAAGAAAACAUCGAAGGAGGAAAGAGAAGGCUUUGACAUAAAUUGAGAGGAACAAGGAGAAAGAGGUUCGUUGCUCUGGAAACCAAGGAAGAAUCAAAGAGGAGAAUGGAAGAUGUCACAUAUCUAAGAAUUCUUUAUUGGAUUGGGCAAUUGAGGAUUCACAGAUGAUCAGAGGAGCCAGAGACAAAUCAGAGUGAAUCUGCUUUAUUACCCAGAGGAUACAAUGAAGGAAGCUUGGGGUCAUCCUAAAUUCCUGAAUUUUCUCUAUUUUGCAAGAUCCAGCCAAUAAUCAAGUCUAGUCACUUUUUCCUCCUCGUAAGUAUCUUCUGUACCUUCGGUUCCCACUGCCUCAUCGUUUUUUGUUCUGGGUAUUUGAAUAGGCUUCUCGUGGUCUCCAGAAUCCAAGGAAUGCUCUCUUCAAUCCAUUCUCUUCAAUAAUACAGGAAUGAAUCCUUAAAAUUCAAAUUGAGCAUGUCAUUGGCUUACCCUGAAGUCCUUCAUUCACACCCAUCUGCUUCCAGGAAGUGCCCCUCAGUCCUGUCUUUCUGUGAUGUAUGAGACCACCUCCUGCUGGAGGCUUACCUCUCAGAUGUACCAGUCGUUGUGGCCACAGUGGCCUUCUGGAAUUUUCUGUACACUCUCAUUCCUGAGAGUCUUGCUUAUGCUCUUUUUCAGAUCUGGAAUGGUUUUUCCCAUCUCUGUAAAGAAACAUUUUCAUCUGAAAAAUUGGGAAACACCAUGAUUAUUUGACACAUUUAAAAAAUGCCAAGUAUAUGAAAUUAAAUUAGGUAGAAUGAUUUUUGGGGGGAUCUAAAGAAUUGCCAAUUAGUGAAUACACAGAAUGCCCAGAAGAGAAGUUUUACAAAAAUUGUUAGGGUAGAAACUGUUAUUACUAACAAUUUUCUGUGUAGAAACUAGUAUAAUCUUUUGGAUGCUAAGGAAGCUGUAAUCUGGAAUUACAAACCAAAGACAAAACCAAACUUCAGACAUUGCUGGUGCUACCACCAUGGAGAAGGAGAGAGAUUCAUACGUAAUUGAAAUGAAUCAGUCUCUUUCUAUGGCUUAGGUGUCUUAAUGGGGCGAGGUGUCAGUUUUUACACUGCUUACUGGCAUUGUUUCAAACUACAAGGGCCUCUGUGCACCACCUGACCUGGGAACUUAUCUCCUGGUACCCGGAGAGGGACAGAUGACUUGGAUUUGAUCCUAAAUGGGACUAUUAGAGAAAAAUGGCAGUUAAUACAUCAACAGAAAAAAGAUUAAUUGUUUAGUAAUCUGGAAAGGGAUAACUAUGCCAACAAUUUCAAGGAAGAGAAGAAGCUUUUCAGUAAGUGGUUAAGAUAAAUAUUUUGCACACUAAAAUUCUG
rnacentral:lncRNA from 1 species